UACACUGACCUCUAAAGAUCUAUGACAGUAGGAAUUUCAUGUGGUUGAAUAGGGGUCUGGAGGCCUGAGCUUAUAGCCACUGAAAACAAUCUGGUGGAGUUUUCUUGACCUUAAGUUCUAGACUCUUUUGUUUAUGAAAUGGGGUUCUAUCCAAUCUACCUACUUCACCAAGUGGUAGAGAUGACCAAAUAAGAUUGAGAAUUGACAAUGUAGAUACCAUCCUUUCCCUUUACCCAGGGGAUGUCCCCAUCUCCCACGACCACAGAGAGUAUAUUCAGAGGAAGGGAAGCAACAUGAGGGAGAUUGCUCUCCUCUGGUGACUCCCUGUGAAGAGAAAGGAAAGAGAGCCUACAGACCUCAGGAGCAUGAUUGCAUCGUGUUUGUUUGUCCUUUUAUGAAGUCUCUGAUGGUGCCCUGAUGUUCAAACAAACAUACUAAAAACAAACCUUUUCCUGAAAGUUCUAACUUGGUGUUAGAACAGUUUCAGACAGUCUGCAUCUCAUCCUGCAGUUUGUUUGUACAUCGAAGCCUUUGAUACAUCAAACAAAACCUCCAAGAGCCUUUAUCGCCUAAUCAUGUACACAUAGACUCUCAGAAUGUUGUAAUAAUAUACUCUAUAAAUAAAAUGUGAGCAUUAAAAAUCGAUUGUGAAUACCUGAGUUUGCUUCUAUAAUAAAGGCAUAUUUGUGAAAUAUAAAAGAAAAAAUUAUAGACCUUGUAAAGCCUUUU